AAGCUCGUAGUUGAAUUUCGGGAUCAAGGAAUCGGUCAUGCCUUGGUAUGUACUGGUUUUAUUGGUUCUCACCUUCUAAAGAACCAUAAUGUCAUUUAUUUGAUGUUAUGGGGAAUUAGGACUGUUACCUUGAAAAAAUUAGAGUGUUUAAAGCAAGCUUACGCUUGAAUACAUUAGCAUGGAAUAAUGAAAUAGGACAUCAGAUUCUAUUUUGUUGGUUUCUAGGAUCGAUGUAAUGAUUAAUAGGGAUAGUUGGG
rnacentral:rRNA from 2 species